GGCGGCGUGCCUAAUACAUGCAAGUCGAGCGGACUUUCAGAGAAGCUUGCUUCUCUGAAAGUUAGCGGCGGACGGGUGAGUAACACGUAGGCAACCUGCCUGUAAGACUGGGAUAACUACCGGAAACGGUAGCUAAUACCGGAUAGCUGGUUUUCUCGCAUGAGAGAAUCAUGAAAGACGGAGCAAUCUGUCACUUAUGGAUGGGCCUGCGGCGCAUUAGCUAGUUGGUGAGGUAAUGGCUCACCAAGGCGACGAUGCGUAGCCGACCUGAGAGGGUGAACGGCCACACUGGGACUGAGACACGGCCCAGACUCCUACGGGAGGCAGCAGUAGGGAAUCUUCCGCAAUGGACGAAAGUCUGACGGAGCAACGCCGCGUGAGUGAUGAAGGUUUUCGGAUCGUAAAGCUCUGUUGCCAGGGAAGAACGUCUUAGAGAGUAACUGCUCUAAGAGUGACGGUACCUGAGAAGAAAGCCCCGGCUAACUACGUG
rnacentral:rRNA from 1 species